GGAUUCCCCUAGUAACUGCGAGUGAAGCGGGAAGAGCUCAAAUUUUGAAUCUGGCGGUCCUCGUGGUCGUCCGAGUUGUAAUCUAGAGAAGCGUUUUCCGCGCUGGACCGUGUACAAGUCUCCUGGAACGGAGCGUCAUAGAGGGUGAGAAUCCCGUCUCUGACACGGACUACCAGGGCUUUUGUGAUGCGCUCUCGACGAGUCGAGUUGUUUGGGAAUGCAGCUCAAAUUGGGUGGUAAAUUCCAUCUAAAGCUAAAUACAGGCGAGAGACCGAUAGCGAACAAGUACCGUGAGGGAAAGAUGAAAAGAACUUUGGAAAGAGAGUUAAACAGUACGUGAAAUUGCUGAAAGGGAAACGCUUGAAGUCAGUCGCGUUGGCCGGGGAUCAGCCUUGCAAUCUUGUUGGGUGCAUUUCCUGGUUGACGGGUCAGCAUCGAUUUUGACCGUCGGAGAAGGGUCGAGGGAAUGUGGCAUCCUUCGGGGUGUGUUAUAGCCUUUGAUCGUAUGCGACGGUUGGGAUCGAGGAACUCAGCAUGACCCCUCGUGGGUUUGGGGCUUCGGCUCACAUCCAUGCUUAGGAUGCUGGCAUAAUGGCUUUAAGCGACCCGUCUUGAAACACGGACCAAGGAGUCUAACAUGCCCGCGAGUGUUUGGGUGUUUAAAACCCGAGCGCGUAAUGAAAGUGAAAGUUGAGACCUCUGUCGUGGAGGGCAUCGACGCCCGGACCAGAACUUUUGUGACGGCCCUGCGGUAGAGCGUGUAUGUUGGGACCCGAAAGAUGGUGAACUAUGCCUGAAUAGGGUGAAGCCAGAGGAAACUCUGGUGGAGGCUCGUAGCGAUUCUGACGUGCAAAUCGAUCGUCGAAUUUGGG
rnacentral:rRNA from 1 species